UCCUAAGGAUGAGCAAAGAAAGUGGUUCUUGAGAUGGAAUCUACUCCUAGUGAAGAUGCUGUAAA
rnacentral:pre_miRNA from 1 species